ensembl:lncRNA novel transcript
GUUCUGAAGCUGUGUCUGAUUCACUGUGACAGCCCCUCUCUCAUGGGUCCCAUCAUCCCUCCCUGCAUCUCAUUUCUGUUGGGAAUUCCCAAAGAACUUCCAGAACAAUGUUGAAUAGAAGUGCCAAGAGCAAAUAACCAUGCCAUGCUCCUAAUUUUAUGAAUCAGAAGGAGUUUCUUUGCUGCUUCCCUUUUCAGAAACUUGGAGACCAUAUAUCUUUGCAAAGUGGAUUUUUAAAAAUAAAGAAGAAAAGAUUAAAUCAGAGAAGCUCCCAAGUUUUCUGCCUUCUGCCUGGACCAGCUUCCUGUGCUUCUUCCUUUCCAAAAUUGAUGUGGUAAAUGUUAUUGCAGUAGCACUGGCUCAGAAAAGCCCAGGCCUUCCAAGAAUGUAACCUUCAUGGAGAAAUUCUGCGACUCUUUCUCCUCUUGGGAGGCUAGAGAGGUAAGACGUAGAAGGAGAGAGAGAAAAAGAGACACGGAGAAAUUUGCCUUGUUAGUGGCUUUCAGGAGAACAAGGCCAGAAGACACAGAGUCCCGGACCUUAUCCACAAGUGUGAGAAGCCAAGAAGGAAAUGACUACCUCUAGAAAGCCUUUCCUGAACGCUUCGACGGAGCUACAAUGGAGAUGAUGUGGUCCACCUUUGGGGUAGGCUCGUAAGAACUGCAGUGGAUAAAAGGACAACUAGAAAAGGGAGGUGGAGGUGGAAGCAAGCUGCCACCGGAGUCAUUAACUGGUUGGAUGUUCUCUCUGCAAUCCUCUGCUUCAGGACUCAAAACUUCCUCCUCAUUCCCAUCCUGUCACUUGCAGCAGAAACUAUUGCCUUGGGACUUGCCAGAGACCUGAAGAUUCCUGAACUCAAGGUGGGGCAUUGCCUUUGAGGAACUGAAGCCACGUAACUGAAUAGGCUAGUCUUGGUUUUCAGAAUGUGAGCCAUAGAACCAGGAUAAUGCAUUAGUCAUGGUCCAUUGAGCUAAUACAAAAGUACUCAAGUAUAUUCCAAAAUAUAUUUUUCUAUAUCUGAAGAUAAUUUGAGUCUGUAGACACCCAUUAAACCUAUAAAGUAUGCACCCACUGCCAAUGCGAUUGACCUAUCGGAAAGAUGUGUACUUGGGAGCGUAGGCAUGCAUCUUUGCAAGUGUGGAGGUGUGUUGGUUAUCAUGAGUGAGAACUGGUGAGUGGGAUUCAGAGCCUGAGUCCUACCUGAGUAACUGGGAGACUGUGGUACUGUGCCUCCAAGGUGGCAUCCAUCAAUGCUUCCUUCCCUGUGUGCACAUCCAGAGAUGAGAUUGACGCCUCCUCUCCCCUUAGACAUGGCUGGACUUACCAACAUGCUUGGUAAGUCCAGAAUGCAGCUGUGUGACUUUGGGGAUUUGGAGGCUCGGUCACAGAAGUCGCAGCUUCCCCACGUGCCUCUUCGUCUGCUUGCUUUUGAACAUUUCCUCAUGGGCACCAGCCUUGAGGGCCAUGCUGUGAGAAGCUGAAGCCGCUGGAGAGGUCCCUGUAGAAGUGCAGAGACAGAGAGGAGCAGAGGACCCAGGAGGCACCGGAAGCAGGUGUGAGGAACCAUCUUGUAAGUGGAUCCUGCCCCACAUGACACUGUGAGAUUCAGAGAUGAAUGGCCCAGCCAAUUUCUUCCCAAAUUCCUAAACCAUAC